ACUUAUUUGGCGGAAAUGGUAGACGCGACAGACUUAAAAUUUGUUCUAUUUUAUAGGUGUUGGUUCGAUUCCAAUAAUAAGUA
rnacentral:tRNA from 1 species